AUCCUAAAACAGCUCCAACUCUCUCAUCUAUGAUGCUGUCAGCCUUGUUAAAUCUCUCUCUUAACUUGGCUCUAGAGCAACAAAAUGACAGAAAUGCUCUUGAUGAAAGCAGAAAACAUCUCUAACUCUCAUUCCUCAUCCUGAUAGCAUUAUUAAAUCUCUCUUAAUUGGCUCUUGAGGUCGGCAGUUGCAGCAAAAUCAAGUUGAAUUCAAAGAAUGGGCCAUCAGAAAUUUGCAGGAAAUGAAAAAUUAAUGGAGAAUUUGCUGGGCUUGGAUGUAUGAUCAUUCUCCUUAUCAAUCGAUCUGCCAUUUACAUGCUUCAAUUUGCUGAUUUGCGGUGCUGUCGAAUGGUUGUAAAUAAAGUGUAAUCUGCAUAUACAAGUAUGAGAAUAGGGAUACCUUGUAAUUUCUAUAUGCUAUGUGACUAAUGGGUAAAUGGUUUUAGGAUUUAGGAUUUAGGUUUUAAUAGAACCCAUUGAUUGCAUUAUUGGGAUUUUCAGUAUACUGUGGGAUAUAAAUUUAAGUCUCAAUUUGUUAAUGCAUGUUUGAUGAACUAAUACCCCAUUCCUAUUAUUGUUAUCACUCAUUCUGUGAAUUUUUAAUAAAGUAAAAGUAAAUAGAAGAAAAGAUGAGGAAAGGGAUAAAAGAGAAGGAAAAUGAGAAAAAUACAUGCAAAAUGUCAAGUUUCUUUGUAGUUGCAGAAUAAUAUUUUACCUCUUCUUUAUGUGGCCAACAUUGAUACCUUCCCUCAAGACUUAUGCUUUUAAAGUUUGGUGCCCUUUUUGUUCUUUUUUAGGACAUUUAUUCUAUAAAUGGUACAAGGUGGAGGGAAAUGGGAGAGUGGUUCCCCCCACUCAUAAAAGGGUCAUUGAAAAAGUUAUAAGGUUGGUCAAUGUAAGACUUACAGUAGCUGGACACUUUUAUUGGCAGGACUAACUUGUGACUUUUUUGUUAUACAAACUUAAAAUAAGAACUAAUCUGUAUGUUAUGCUAACUGUCGGAGACUUACUUGUAAUGUACUCUUUAAAAACUAUUAGUUAGUCUCUUUGUCAAUUAUAUCACUUGACUUCCCUUUCAUGUCUCUGAUCUUAAAAGGAAAGAUCACUUGUCUUUCUCUGUUGUUUGUUUUUUCUCUACAUAGAACCCAAGAAAAGAAAUAGAACAGCAGAAGCUAGUUAGAUAGAUAAAAAAGAUUUAAAAAAAAAAGACCGACCAGUCUUAAUUUAGACCCAGAAAAUCUCUUGCCUAAGGGCGUUUCUAGGAACUGCCCAGUUCCUGCUUUCUCCUUCUAUGUUGAUUCUAUUCUUCUCUUAUCUGUCUCACACUCACAUUUGCUUAUUCCAAUCCCAAAAUGACAUUUUCUUUUCUCUUUUUGGUUAUUUGCAUUGAUUUGUGAGUUGCUGACCAAUUUCAUUCUUUCUGGCUAGCAGAAUUUACCAAUAGAAAAUUCGUUGCUACUAAAUAAAACACUAACCUAAUGCGUUAUUCAUUAUAGUCUGUCUCACAUGUUAGAGUCUUUGACUUGAUUUUGUUUUAAGCAAUACUAUCUCUCUUUUUAUUUGCUGUUUCUUAUUCAUUGGGAUUCUGGGUUCUUGUUAAUUUAGUAAACAGCUACAUUUUUUUACCAUUGAACUAUGCUGUUUUUGUCAGUAUUCUUUUAAUUUGGGGGUUCUGGGAUCUUGUAGAUUCUCAAAACAAGCUUCUCUGAUGGCUUAAAUUGCCAGAAUUUAACCUUUCUUGUUAGUUUGUCAAAAGUCAAGAAUUGGAACUUUCAAGUAGUGCACUUAUGGGUUGUAGAAAAAGAGGGACAAGAUAGCAACAAUUGGAUUGAUGAGUUUUGGGGUUUAAUGCUUGAAAGAACUGAGGUCUAUAUAGCAGUCAUCCUGAUGAGAAUAAGAGAAUGGAGUAGAAUUAAAGGCUGCAUUUGCUCGAAAGGUACUGCAUCAAAUGAAUAUGUAGAAAAAAGUGCCGCAAGCAAAGAAGCAACUAAAACUAGCAAACUUUCAGUCUCUUCUUCCAAAAGAGAUGAAGCUGCAUUUGAGGUGGACGACAUAUCUAAUCAACUCAAUGGGAGCUCUACCUUUGUAUCAUCUGAUGAGAAUAAGAAACAAUCUGCAAAGGCCAGUCCUCUGAAGGCAUGUAGGCUAUUGAGUUUGACCAACGGGGAUAAAAAGAAGCACAAACUUUUACUGGUUGGCCUUCUUGGUUAACUGCUGUGGCUGGAGAGGCCAUUAAUGGAUGGGUGCCUCGAAGGACAGAAUCCUUUGAGAAGCUGAAAAAGGAAUGUGCACAAGACUUCUUUAAUUCUGUCUGCUCAACUCAUUUGAAAUGCAUUGUUGCCUUUCAGGUGACAAGGUUCCCUCCUACAACUGUGCAGUAACCAAAGGUGGAUCUCCUGUCAUCGAGAGAUCCUAUCCAAUCUGCAUCUGUAAAAGCUUCAACUCGGACGUGACCAUGUUUGGAGUAAAGAAGCCCUUUCCCUGGCGCAGACAUUAGAUAUCUUAAGAUACGAAGUACAACUUGCAUAUGAGUCUCGCGAGGGUCAUACAUGAAUUGGCUGACUAAGCUAACAGCAUAGGCUAUAUCCGGUCGAGUGUGAGAGAGAUAAAUCAACCUUCCUACCAAUUUCUGGUAUCUUCCAAUAU